GUACAAUAGGAGUAUAAUCACUAUAGAUAAUUUAUGUAACAUUCAUAAUAAAUAUAUAAUAAUAAGUGCUGAAAAGGUCAAUAGUUGACGGAAACAUUGUUUGUUGUUGAGUGAGUACAGACAAUGUAAUCCUUCAAGUAGUCCUAGGAAAUGAAGAAUACACAGCAAAUUGAGGAGUGUUAAUUUUUUGGUGUUGAUGAGAAUCUUGAAGUUGGAGUGUGAAUUUUACACUAUUUGGAGUUGAUCUAACACUGCAUUUUCUUAAAAAUGUUAAAUUUAACACUGGAUCAUGAAAGUGUUGUAGUUAAAAUGGAGUGUUGAAAAUGUUCAAAUCUUGUUAGUGUCACAAUAAAGACAUUCAACACUUCCACACUCCAUUUAACACCUAACAGUGUUCACUGUCUUAAGCUCCGCCCACGGACAUUUCAUUUAGACUCCACCACUCACUUCACGUUGCUGAAAUGAAAAGCAGAUGGAAGAAGUUGACAAUUAGGAAUCAUUUUGCAUCAGUAGUGUUGCUGUGAGCUGAAUCGGCACUGCCUGUGCAACAUUUGGCAAAGUAAGUGAACGCUACGUUACAUCUUCAUUAUACUGUCUUCAUUUUGAAUAAGCUAAUGGCUAACUAGCUAAUUAGCACGAGGAGCCCCCACAUGUAGGCCUGCUGGCCCCCAGCAAAGGACUUGAUAUGCUGUACAAGAUACAAGAUAUCAAGGUUGGGCAACUGUAAUUGUUACUUUAACUUAAAAAUAAUUGUCAGGCGUGUGUUGGAAGUGAACUACACAAUUUUUUUUUAGAAUGAUGCAUCUUUAUUUUUCUUCUUGAUUCACAGAAAACCUUUGCUGGAGUCUUACAUGAAUGUGAGGUGGAUGGAGAUGUGUAGACUCCACUAUCCCUUCACCCCAGUUAUCGCCAGUGGUGGUGAGCCUCCACUCUUGCCGACUACAUCCCAUUCAUUGGGUUCAACAAUUUAUCCUUCAGCCCACAAGAGGAACCCAACAGAACCAAUGGAUCAGGAUGAAGCAUGACAGAAAGUCGGUGGUGUUUUGAGGGCCAAUCCGAAAGGUGAGGAAAUCUUCAAGGAGUGCAACAAGACUGAAACACUAACCGAUGCAAGGUGUAAACAGAUGGUGAACAUCCUGGUUGCAGAUAUGAUGGAGCUGCAUGGGAGGGUUCCGCCAUCAUGUGUGAUGAGAAAUUACGCCCUGAGAAUUGUGACUUGUUUUCCAUACCUCAAAGAUCCAUUCUCCAAACCUGGAUAUGAUGCUUAGCUUAGCUGCAGUGGCUCAAGAGGUAGAGCAGGUCGUCCAGAAAUCGUAAGGUUGGUUCGAUCCUUGCGCCCAGUCACUGUUGUGUCCUACACGGCUCUCAAAGCCGUUCCAAGACUGUUUCUUCAUGAUGGUCCAAAAACCAGAGGAGAAUAUCUGUUAACUGGUCAACAGCUGUUUGGUGAGGAGUGCAGGGAGGGGCUAUCUACAAUAAGACAUUCAACCGAUGAAUCCGUGGUCAAAGAAGAUGAGAGCAACUUUCCAGUAUUGACAGAAUAUGAUCCAAGCGGAAGAUGUAUCAUCGUCUGUCCUUGAUGUGUUCACUCGCUUCCUUGAUGUUCCAGGAUUGGAUUUCUCAAUGAUGUUUGCUGAUGAAGUAUCUCAGAGGUUCCUGGCUAAGUGGUCAACUGUCUUCAAAGCAGAAGUCAUUGCAGACUGCAAGACUCUCCCGCAAAAGCGGAACAUUGAUGAGAUGCUGUCAGGAACUGAACCUCAACCUGAUGACAGCUGUGGCUGGGGCAGUGAUACAUCCUCCAUCCUUCUACUCCUGCAUCUGCUCCCUCUGACCUCUAGAGGCCAGGAAAAAAAACAGCAAAGAUCAGUUUGUCAAGCAGCCAACCAUCUUCUCAGAUAUCUUAAGGAAGGAGCCAGUGUGACCCCCUUCCAAGACUGUUGACUCAAGACAAGCAUUUCUCCUCUGCAUCAGUGAGCGAAGGUGACAUCCAGAGGGUUUGCAUGAUUGACCAAAAGCCGAUUACAUGCAAGGCAUAUACAUUUAUUGCAGCUUUUGAUGAAAUGUUCAAAGCUCACUAUGUCUUCAGUCUCUCGUAUGGUUAAAAAUGGAUAAGAGCAAACAUUUGGGUCUGAAUGCUGCCCAGUCAUGGUGUCUUCUAUGUAACACUCCACUUCUAUUUGGUGAUGGCAUUGAAAGGAAGAAUGAUCACUGGAACUUCCUCCUCCUUUUGAUGCAGAUUGUCAACAUACCUGUAGUGUUCUCCUACACCAUAACUGAUGGAAUGAUCCUUUACUUGAAACAUCUGAUAAGUGACCCCCACACUCGGUACAAAGCAUUGCUUCCUGGUAAGAAGUUGAUUCCCAAGCACCGCUUGAUGAUACACUAUCCAAGAUGCAUACAAAAAAUUGGCCCUCUUUUCCAGACGUGGUGAAUGCGUUUUUGAAGCCAAACACAAUUUUUUCAAAAGGAGUGGUUAAAAUUUUUAAAAAUCUCAGCCGUUUGUCGUGGCCUUUCACUAUGAAAAUUAUUAUUUUAGAAGAUUUGAAUUUGGCCCUACAUCAAAAACAAUCUGCAACUUGAAAGGAGGGGAGGAGCGUGGUCAGGCAUGAUGUCUGCAAGCAUCUUCAAGUGUGUCAAGUACCAACUGGGUGAGAAGUUACGGUAUAGAGCACCAUGUUGGUGUGUUCAUAUGUACUGGAUGUAGCUUUGAUCUACCUGUGUUCAAGAAGAUCUGUGAUAUAAUAAAACACAAAGAAUGUGCUUUCAUAAUAGCUGUAAUGUAGAAACAAUGUACUAUGAUGACCCGUUUAACGCGUACUGCAAAGAAGACCAAAUGCUUGAGUUUUCUGUCAUGUGUUUAAAUGAACUGACUCAUUUCAGACCAUUUGACAAGCAGUGCUCUAAUGACAAGUGUCAAGGAGCAUACAUACUGUAGUGCCUGCUGUUAUUUAAGCUACUGUCUGUUGGAAAUGAAAUGUUUUUGAAUAAAAUGUAUGAAGCAGUCAACUAGUCAUUUUUUAAAAAAUUUUAAAUUUUAUUUUGAAGUAGUAUAUUAACACUUUUAUAGUGUUAAUGUUGCAACUCCUUUUGAGAGUAAAAUGACACUAUAAGAGUCAAUAAAUGACUCUUAAGAGAAUUAAUUUGUGACACCUCACACUAGUGUUAAAAAAAUGCAACACCGGUUGGUGUCGAGGAGUGUUAAAUUUUAACUAUAUAAAUAGUUAAUAUUGACUCUACAAUGGUGUAAAAAUGCCUACACUUUCAAAAGUGUUAAAAUAACACUUUGUAGAG